GAUCAUGGCUCAGGAUGAACGCUAGCGACAGGCUUAACACAUGCAAGUCGAGGGGCAGCGAGGGCGUAGCAAUACGCCUGUCAGCGACCGGCGCACUGGUGAGUAACACGUAUGCGACCUGCCCCCUACAGGGGUAUAACCCGUAGAAAUGCGGACUAAUCCCCCAUAGUCCCCGCGGGCUGCAUGGCCUGCGGGGGAAAGGGUUUCCGGUAGGGGAUGGGCAUGCGGCGCAUUAGGUAGUCGGCGGGGUAACGGCCCACCGAGCCGACGAUCGGUAGGGGUUCUGAGAGGAAGGUCCCCCACAUUGGAACUGAGACACGGCCCAGACUCCUACGGGAGGCAGCAGUGAGGAAUAUUGGUCAAUGGGCGGAAGCCUGAACCAGCCAUGCCGCGUGAAGGACUAAGGCCCUAUGGGUCGUAAACUUCUUUAGACGCAGAGCAAUAAGGGUCUCGUGAGAUCCGAUGAGAGUAUGCGUAGAAUAAGCAUCGGCUAACUCCGUG
rnacentral:rRNA from 1 species